GAUGAACGCUGGCGGCGUGCCUAAUACAUGCAAGUCGAGCGAACGGACGAGAAGCUUGCUUCUCUGAUGUUAGCGGCGGACGGGUGAGUAACACGUGGAUAACCUACCUAUAAGACUGGGAUAACUUCGGGAAACCGUAGCUAAUACCGGAUAAUAUUUUGAACCGCAUGGUUCAAAAGUGAAAGACGGUCUUGCUGUCACUUAUAGAUGGAUCCGCGCUGCAUUAGCUAGUUGGUAAGGUAACGGCUUACCAAGGCAACGAUGCAUAGCCGACCUGAGAGGGUGAUCGGCCACCCUGGAACUGAGACACGGUCCAGACUCCUACGGGAGGCAGCAGUAGGGAAUCUUCCGCAAUGGGCGAAAGCCUGACGGAGCAAGGCCGCGUGAGUGAUGAAGGUCUUCGGAUCGUAAAACUCUGUUAUUGGGGAAGAACAUAUGUGUAAGUAACUGUGCAAGUCUUGACGGUACCUAAUCAGAAAGCCACGGCUAACUACGUG
rnacentral:rRNA from 1 species